CGUUCAAAUCAAUCACUCCGCACGGCUCGCUGAAUCGCUCACUCACUGACUCAUUCGUUCAGUCUCUCGCGUUCCGCCGGUUGUCGUAGUCGUCUGUAGAGCGGUCACUACGGAAUCACCGGUAUUUUCAGUGCUAUAGUAAUUGAUCUAAUUCACAAUCCCAGCACAAUUGUUGUUAUUUGAUAACAUUUGUGUGUGAAAGUGAGAGCGUUAAGUUGUGUGUAGGCGGGACAGUUCAUUAAAUUUACCGAACGUACUUUGAGGUAUGGAGUGGGAAGGGCCGCCCAAGCAAGGCUUGUACGACCCACAGAACGAGCACGAGGCUUGCGGUGUUGGUUUUGUAGUUGCUAUCGACGGAAAACGUACCCAUAAAAUCGUCCGAGAUGCAGAGACGCUCGCAAAGCGCAUGGAGCACCGUGGCGCGUGCGCAUGCGACAACGACACCGGUGACGGCGCGGGAGUGCUAACUGCUAUUCCGCAUCAAUUCUACUGUGCUCAGCUCAGGUAAGAAAACGUAGAUUAUU